GACGAACGCUGGCGGCGUGCCUAAUACAUGCAAGUAGAACGCUGAAGGAGGAGCUUGCUUCUCUGGAUGAGUUGCGAACGGGUGAGUAACGCGUAGGUAACCUGCCUGGUAGCGGGGGAUAACUAUUGGAAACGAUAGCUAAUACCGCAUAAGAGUAGAUGUUGCAUGACAUUUGCUUAAAAGGUGCAAUUGCAUCACUACCAGAUGGACCUGCGUUGUAUUAGCUAGUUGGUGGGGUAACGGCUCACCAAGGCGACGAUACAUAGCCGACCUGAGAGGGUGAUCGGCCACACUGGGACUGAGACACGGCCCAGACUCCUACGGGAGGCAGCAGUAGGGAAUCUUCGGCAAUGGACGGAAGUCUGACCGAGCAACGCCGCGUGAGGGAAGAAGGUUGUCGGAUCGUAAAGCUCGGUUGUAAGAGAAGAACGAGUGUGAGAGUGGAAAGUUCACACUGUGACGGUAUCUUACCAGAAAGGGACGGCUAACUACGUG
rnacentral:rRNA from 1 species